rnacentral:misc_RNA from 1 species
UGAACUUUUGCCGAGGACGAUAGGAGAGAAUGAACGGUCGGCUAUUCGACCGUCAUCGAAUGACGGACUUUCAGAUAGGACGCAACAGGAAAUUAAUAAAAACAUCUGUUUCUAUAAAUUACGGGCGCGUGAGCGCCGUUUGAGCAAACGAAGCGGGCCGUUCAAUCACAGAGCAAACGAGGCGUCAACAGGCACCGUCCAUAAGAGGCACUCAAAGGACGCCCGCCGCGUUUCCGCGACAACGUGGACACACAUCCAGCCGACAUAUUUACUCUGUCUCUUGUUUCCCUUCGCGAAAUAAAGCGAGCCAGUUCCCUUUAAUAAGCAGUCGUGGCGCGUUUACGGCCUACGGCUGUCAGAUUUCAUGGCUGCUAGAGAAUCGGCGAGGCAAGAAAUAACGAGAAAAAGUGGGGAAAAAAGAGCAAGAUAGAUUCGUGUUGCAACGUGCAUUCGCCCUUCUACAGAUAGCGAUAGACUCGGAACGCCACAAAACGUAUUUAUCGUGCUCGAAGUUUAUGGUAAAAUAAG